rnacentral:rRNA from 1 species
GAAUAAGCACCGGUGAUCCAGCAAUGCCGCGUGAGUGAAGAAGGCCUUCGGGUUGUAAAGCUCUUUUGUCAGGGAAGAAACGGUUUGGGCUAAUACCCUGAGCUAAUGACGGUACCUGAAGAAUAAGCACCGGCUAACUACGUGCCAGCAGCCGCGGUAAUACGUAGGGUGCAAGCGUUAAUCGGAAUUACUGGGCGUAAAGCGUGCGCAGGCGGUUUUGUAGGUCUGACGUGAAAUCCCCGGGCUCAACCUGGGAAUUGCGUUGGAGACUUCAAGGCUAGAAUCUGGCAGAGGGGGGUAGAAUUCCACGUGUAGCAGUGAAAUGCGUAGAGAUGUGGAGGAACACCGAUGGCGAAGGCAGCCCCCUGGGUCAAGAUUGACGCUCAUGCACGAAAGCGUGGCGAGCAAACAGGAUUAGAUACCCUGGUAGUCCACGCCCUAAACGAUGUCUACUAGUUGUCGGGUUUUAAUUAACUUGGUAACGCAGCUAACGCGUGAAGUAGACCGCCUGGGGAGUACGGUCGCAAGAUUAAAACUCA